rnacentral:rRNA from 1 species
UACGGAAGGCAGCAGGGGGAAUAUUGCACAAUGGGCGCAAGCCUGAUGCAGCCAUGCCGUGUGUAUGAAGAAGGCCUUCGGGUUGUAAAGUACUUUCAGUCGUGAGGAAGGUGUUAAGGUUAAUAACCUUAGCAAUUGACGUUAGCGACAGAAGAAGCACCGGCUAACUCCGUGCCAGCAGCCGCGGUAAUACGGAGGGUGCGAGCGUUAAUCGGAAUUACUGGGCGUAAAGGGCACGCAGGCGGUUAAUUAAGUUGGAUGUGAAAUCCCCGGGCUUAACCUGGGAAUGGCAUUCAAGACUGGUUAGCUAGAGUCUUGUAGAGGGGGUAGAAUUCCAUGUGUAGCGGUGAAAUGCGUAGAGAUGUGGAGGAAUACCGGUGGCGAAGGCGGCCCCUGGGACAAAGACUGACGCUCAUGUGCGAAAGCGUGGGGAGCAAACAGGGAUUAGAUACC